rnacentral:rRNA from 1 species
AGCGAACGCUGGCGGCAGGCCUAACACAUGCAAGUCGAGCGCCCCGCAAGGGGAGCGGCAGACGGGAGAGUAACACGUGGGAACGUACCCUUUGGUUCGGAACAACCCAGGGAAACUUGGGCUAAUACCGGAUAAGCCCUUACGGGGAAAGAUUCAUCGCCGAAGGAUCGGCCCGCGUCUGAUUAGCUAGUUGGUGGGGUAACGGCCCACCAAGGCGACGAUCAGUAGCUGGUCUGAGAGGAUGAUCAGCCUCACUGGGACUGAGACACGGCCCAGACUCCUACGGGGGGCAGCAGUGGGGAAUAUUGGACAAUGGGCGCAAGCCUGAUCCAGCCAUGCCGCGUGGGUGAUGAAGGCCCUAGGGUUGUAAAGCCCUUUCGGCGGGGAAGAUAAUGACGGUACCCGCAGAAGAAGCCCCGGCUAACUUCGUGCCAGCCGCCGCCGUAAGAC